AAGGACGGUGUGCACAGGUGUCUAACAAGUAAUGAGGUCUCUGCAUGGGUAAGCUCUUCCCCUUGACUUUUCCUGCAGGUGACACUCACUUGUUUUCCUGAAGGUUAUUGUCAGGGGCCUUUUAGAAGACAUUCCCAAUUAUACCCCUCUUUCUUGCCUGCGUACAAUUUGAGAAAGAAUAAUUUUUGUCAGUGGAGAUGAAAUGAUCCCCCUAUUAACAAUUGAAGCCAAAAUGAAGGACGCACCUCUGAGGAGGAGUCAGUCUGAUAGAGACGGCUGCCUGAGCUCCAGGAUGAUUGACCCACCAGUCCCUCAGCACCGGGGAGCCCCUGGACCAGGCACAGCUACAAAGUGUGCAUGUUUACCAAGUGAAUGCCUUGCCUACAUCCUUACCUGCAGAGCAGAGAAUGAGAGAAAACAACAAUGAUGAUGAUGAUAAGGAUUCUGAAGUGGGAAUGACUUGAUUUGGAGGAGAUGUCAGACGUGUAACAUACGGAUUGUCAGCGAUGGUAAGGGAAUGGCCCUUCCUCCUGCCAGCAUCAGCACCCUGAAGAUGAAGAUACCUAGAAGCUCACUUCCCACAUCUGCCAGCUCUAACUGUUGGACUUCUGGCUCCUUUUGGACUCCUGUUGGACUAACAAGGGUCACCUGAGACACACUGUGGCCGAGGAUGUGCCAAUAGCGAAAUGGGUAUUUUCUAGUAAGUCAAGAAAUGUUCACUGGAUACCCUCUUCUUCCUGCUUGAGCUCCUGAAGUUGGCCCAUCCAUGAAAUUUGUCCUGGACACACUGCAGCAUGAUGACAAACAAGGCAUGUGAUGUCAGGGAACAAGGCACAGGACUGUCUCAGGAAAGGGGGACAGGUGGUAAACACAUGUCACCUGUGGCAGAGGAUGGACAGCUUCCCUCCGACUUAGCAAUACAUGAUCCUAAAGGAGCCAGAUGCAGUUAUCCGGAGGUUAGAACAACCUUGAUUGCAGAAGGCUGAAAAAAGAAACAGGAGGUAAGAGGAGAAAAAUGCGAUUAGGACUUUCCAUAAACUUAGCAGAAGAAGAACAUAGAAGUUUCUAUCUCUGCUUCUGACUCCCUCCCAUACUCCUUCCUUUCCUUCUUUUCUUCUUUUCUUUAGUACUAGACAUGGGGUGGUGGGGGGGUCCCUCGAGCACAUGUAUAUUCUGAGAAGAAAAAGGCAACAGAAACAGGAACGUUAAAGGAAUAAUUGGUGGAACAAUCUUUAAGGAGGUCAGAGUGGUGGCAUUUAAAGGAGAGCUGGAAUGACUGUGUGCCAAGUGCUCUGCCUGGCACUAGACAUCCUAACCAGCUCAUGAUGCCCGGCUCCCCCAGUCACUUACUGUCCAAUGUCAGGAAAGAACACGGGAACUUGCAGCAGACAGUGUUGUGCUUCCCCCAGAUCCCCAUAAUUUUUUAU
rnacentral:lncRNA from 1 species